rnacentral:rRNA from 1 species
ACAGGUGGUGCAUGGUUGUCGUCAGCUCGUGUCGUGAGAUGUUGGGUUAAGUCCCGCAACGAGCGCAACCCUUGUCUCAUGUUGCCAGCAAUUCGGUUGGGGACUCGUGAGAGACUGCCGGGGUCAACUCGGAGGAAGGUGGGGAUGACGUCAAAUCAUCAUGCCCCUUAUGUCCAGGGCUUCACACAUGCUACAAUGGCCGGUACAGAGGGCUGCGAUACUGUAAAGUGGAGCGAAUCUCUUAAAGCCGGUCUCAGUUCGGAUUGGGGUCUGCAACUCGACCCCAUGAAGUCGGAGUCGCUAGUAAUCGCAGAUCAGCAAUGCUGCGGUGAAUACGUUCCCGGGCCUUGUACACACCGCCCGUCACGUCAUGAGAGUCGGUAACACCCGAAGCCGGUGGCCUAACCCUUGUGGGGGGAGCCGUCGAAGGUGGGAUCGGCGAUUGGGACG